rnacentral:snoRNA from 1 species
UGGACCAAUAAUGAAUAUCCUAGGGUGUCUAAACAAUGAUUUUGAUUAAACUCUACAACUGUGAGGUCAGA